UACGUAGGGGACGAGCGUUGUCCGGAAUUACUGGGCGUAAAGGGCGCGCAGGCGGUAUAUCAAGUCAGCUGUCAAAGACUGGGGCUCAACCCUGGUAUGCGGUUGAAACUGAUAUGCUGGAGUGCUGUAGAGGCAAGUGGAAUUCCCAGUGUAGCGGUGAAAUGCGUAGAUAUUGGAAAGAACACCGGUGGCGAAGGCGACUUGCUGGGCAGCAACUGACGCUGAGGCGCGAAAGCCAGGGGAGCAAACGGGAUUAGA
rnacentral:rRNA from 1 species